UUGGGGUCUUAACAAAAGCCCCACCAGUGCGCCAAAUUAGAGGGUUAAACACUACUAAGUAAAUCUCAAAUUAGAAAGUUUGGGUUUCCAAUCGUCGACUGCUCUAGAUCGAUUGACUGCUCUAAAUCGACUGGUCUUUAAAUCAGUGCUCCAGGCUCCAGGCUCCAGGAUCUAGUACGCAUCUCAAAAUUUACAAAAACUUUGGGUCUCUGAUCAAUCGACUACUUCAUAUAUUAAAUCAGUUCUCUGAUCGACUACUAUUCCAACUAUGAGUGCUUCGACCACCAUUUCUUUGACCACUUUUGAUUGAACCCUAGCCAUCUAUUGAAAUAGGCACAGAUAUUAGUCAUGGAUUAGCUUGUGGUCCUUCAGGAUCAAGAGCACCAUAUAGCAUUUUGGAUACCAGAUUCGAAGCGUUACAAAAAAGUACAAUGUAUCAUUAUUGAGUUCAUUUUCUAAUAUUUUUGUGAGUAUUACUACAUUGACAAACGGACAAGAAAAGGUACUAACAUCUGUUGCAAUAUAGUUAAUUCAACAUGGUUUUGUAGGAUUAAAUAUCAUUGCCUACUAUUUUAUUUCCCAUAUAAACACGGUGGUAGAUGAAGCUGCGACUCUACGAGCUCAUUAUUUCUACCUUAUUUGGUAAGUGCAUAACCUUGUUAGCAAACUAACAUAAAAACUCCUUAAAUCUGAGAUACCCUGAACUGAGGAACUAUUAACUACGUGGUUGUGCUUAUUUAGUUUGAAAAUAGGACCCAAAUAUGUAUUGGUUCAAACUAUAGGGCAUUAGUACUUGGCAGCCACACGUAAGAGUACGCCAAGAGAAACUAUGCCAAUAAUGAGUCUAAAUAUAGCACUGUUAUUAUCUCUCUUACUGCUCAGCAGAGGUACUAAUUUGAUUGAAUUAUUAUGGUUUGGGGAAUUGAUUUAUCUUAUUAUUAUUCCUGCGCCCCUCAUAUGUAUGUAUGAUUAUGAUUAGGCAUUACUUGUUGAGGGAUAUUUAUGAUGACAUGAUGCUUGAUGGAGUAAAUCCAGGGAGAGGUACGCAAUUGUUCGGGGUAUGAUUGUUGUUGGUCUUGGUCUGAAUAAAUUCUUCUAUGUUGGGUUUAAAACAACUCAUAAGAAUAAGGAACCUGUCACAAAUAAUGUAGCUUCCAAGAUUAUGGAGCUAGUUGAGCAAUCCAAGGGUUGGUCAGCAAUUGAAUCACCUAAUAACAUUCCUUUAAGAUCCAUAAUUGGCAUGACUGAAGAAGAACUUUACAAUGGGAAAAUGAUAAUUUGGGGUUGCUCUUUUGAAGUCUUUAUGGAGUGAAGAGCUUUAUUUACUUCCUUUUUAUUUUUGUUUCCUUGCUCAUUAUGUUAUUAUACAAGAAUUCCCAACCUCUUUAUUCUUUUUAUAGGUGUCCUUCCUAUGUUCUAAACUGAAAUUAAAUAUAUUGUCAUUUAAGUGCUAAUUAAUUGAAAUUAAUUUUUCUCUUUUUAUAGGUGUCAAAAAUCAUGAAGGAGAUGAUGAAAGAAGUGAUGAAGAAAUUGACAUGAUUUUUGAAUUGUUUAUAGAUGCUUUAAUAUCGAUCUUUUUGAUUUUGAAUUUCGUGAAACUUAUUGCCAUUCGAAUUUGAUACUAUGUGGGAAAACUAAUGAUGACAUUAACAUUUUGCUUUUGGGUUUA